CUCUUUUGGUCGCAUGAUAUCUUGACUAAGCCAUCAAGCCACAACACCUCUACGAAGCAAAUUCGAAAAUUAAAAUGCCAGUCAAGAAAUUACUUGUCCGACCAGCAGCCAGCAACUGAAGCAUAAUUAAAGAUGAGCGCACAUUCUUUUAUCAUCCUUUCGUAACGGAUUCGUCGAGAAGCUCACCUAGAGCAUAAUCUUCAAGUUGACAAAUCAGAGAUAAAAGAGAAAACGACUAAGGCAUAAGACAUUAAAGAACAAGAAGUUCAGUAACUCUCAAG